rnacentral:rRNA from 1 species
UACGUAGGUGGCAAGCGUUAUCCGGAAUUAUUGGGCGUAAAGAGCGCGCAGGUGGUUGAUUAAGUCUGAUGUGAAAGCCCACGGCUUAACCGUGGAGGGUCAUUGGAAACUGGUCGGCUUGAGUGCAGGAGAGGGGAGCGGAAUUCCCGGUGUAGCGGUGGAAUGCGUAGAGAUCGGGAGGAACACCAGUGGCGAAGGCGGCUCUCUGGCCUGUAACUGACGCUGAGGCGCGAAAGCGUGGGGAGCGAACAGGAUUAGAUACCCGCGUAGU